AAUCCAUGUUGUGGGCACUUCCGCAAAAGAUCCUUGAAUCAUUCCCAUGUCUCAAACAAGGACUCGAGCUCCAUCUGAACAAAUGACAAUAUCUCAUUGCGAAGCUU